GAUGAACGCUGGCGAUAGGCUUAACACAUGCAAGUCGAGGGACCGGCGCACGGGUGCGUAACGGGUAUGCAACUUUACUCACAGAGGGGGAUAACCCGUCGAAAGACGGACUAAUACCGCGUACUGUGAGAUAGGCAUGCGUCCCAUUAGCUAGUUGGUGAGGUAACGGCUCACCAAGGCAACGAUGGGUAGGGGAACUGCGAGGGUGAACCCCCAAACUGGGACUGAGACACGGACCAGACUCCUAGGGGAGGCAGCAGUGAGGAAUAUUGGUUAAUGGGCGAGAGCAUGAACCAGCCACGGCGAGUGAAGGUUGCCUCUUUUUGGAAGCUAAACUUGUUUUGAAGGACAAUAUGUACCACACGAAUAAGCAGCGGCUAACCCCGUGCCAGCCGCCGCGGUAAUAC
rnacentral:rRNA from 1 species